CAGUAGCCACGGGAAUACGAAGGGGGCUAGCGUUGUUCGGAUUUACUGGGCGUAAAGCGCACGUAGGCGGAUCGAUCAGUCAGGGGUGAAAUCCCAGAGCUCAACUCUGGAACUGCCUUUGAUACUGUCGAUCUGGAGUAUGGAAGAGGUGAGUGGAAUUCCGAGUGUAGAGGUGAAAUUCGUAGAUAUUCGGAGGAACACCAGUGGCGAAGGCGGCUCACUGGUCCAUUACUGACGCUGAGGUGCGAAAGCGUGGGGAGCAAACAGGAUUAGAUACCCCGGUAGUCCCUGUCUCUUAUAC
rnacentral:rRNA from 1 species